GACGAACCGUCCAAACGUUGUUCGGAAUCACUGGGCUUAAAGGGCGCGUAGGCGGACUGCCAAGUCCGGGGUGAAAUCUUUCGGCUUAACCGGAAAAGGGCCUUGGAAACUGGCGGUCUCGAGGGAGGUAGGGGCCUGUGGAACUUCGGGUGGAGCGGUGAAAUGCGUUGAUAUCCGAAGGAACGCCGGUGGCGAAAGCGACGUGCUGGAUCUCUUCUGACGCUGAGGCGCGAAAGCUAGGGGAGCGAACGGG
rnacentral:rRNA from 1 species